rnacentral:lncRNA from 1 species
ACAAAUUCAAAAUAGAUGGAAAAUUAGACACUUUCUUCACAAUGUCUUAACCAAACGAAGUUAUUUCUUUCAGGCUAUUUGUGUAUUGAAUAUCUGCCCCUUGAAGAGAAUUAAACUAUAUAAUGAAAGUGAAAUAUCCAGAUAUCACCUUAAUACUCAGCAGUCAUACUCACUGAUGUUCCUGAGGCUUCAUGCAUUACAGGGCUCAAAAGAUAUCUUGUAAAUUUUGUUUCAGUAAUUGUUCUUUAUUUGGCAGAGUCAAUCUGCAUUUAAAUGAAAAUGGCAGAUUUACAAAUGGUGUAUUAAGUGAACUUUGCAACUAAGGACAUGAAAAAAUGAUGGCUGGGACUUAUGAUUUGUCGGCAGCAAACAGGUUCUAAUAAGGCAGAUUCUAAUAAAGCAGUCAUUAAAAAAAUUGAAUUUAGCAAAACAAUAUGAUGUAAUACAAAUGUAGUUUAUCCUGGGUAUGUGUUUAUUUUAUAUUUGAUAACGUUAGAUUUCUUAAAGCUUUGUAUACUUGAGAUGUUUAGUUCAAAGGAAUAAGAAGUCUCAAAAAACUGCAUAGGUAGAGAAGGAAAAUUCAAAAUUGGCAACUGGUUUAUAUACCUAGUGUCUCAUUUUUCUAAAAAACUGAAGCCUGGAUUUUUUACUCUUGCUAGGAUUAUGUGACUACUGGAAACCACUUAAACAGGGGGCCCCAAUCUUUAAAAAAAAAAAAAAUUACCUGAACUUGAAUUUUACUAAAAACUGUGAGACACUCACUUUACUCUUCUCUAAUAAUCUCACUAGAUGUCUUUUUAAGUCCUACUGCUGCUCCCUUACUCAGAAGGGAACUUCACUAAACUCUGCACAUCAGUUCUGUAAGAUCUUAAGCACAGUGUUAAUUGCUAGAAGAUGAUUUGUCCCUUUAAGUGGGUUUAUUUGCAGCUUGAAAUCUAAUGAAAAAUAUCAUCCUGUAGAAUGCUCUUGGCCACUAGUGCUUGUAUGUAAGUAUAAACUUGAAAGAGACCUCCAUUAGCACAUUUAAGUUUCACAUGUCAUCUGGGGAAGUUGAUAACAAAGUGCUAUGAGAAUUUAUCACUGAACAAAUUAUUUGUGCCAAAAAUACAGCUGGAACAUAAAUGACUAGGUUUAAAACUGUUCAUUUUCUGAACACCUA